rnacentral:rRNA from 1 species
UUGCAUAUCAAAAAGCGGAGGAAAGGAAACCAACAGGGAUUGCCUCAGUAACGGCGAGUGAAGCGGCAAAAGCUCAAAUUUGAAAUCUAGCACCUUCGGUGUUCGAGUUGUAAUUUGAAGAUGGUAACCUUGGGUUUGGCUCUUGUCUAUGUUCCUUGGAACAGGACGUCAUAGAGGGUGAGAAUCCCGUCUGAUGAGAUGCCCAUUCCUAUGUAAGGUGCUAUCGAAGAGUCGAGUUGUUUGGGAAUGCAGCUCUAAGUGGGUGGUAAAUUCCAUCUAAAGCUAAAUAUUGGCGAGAGACCGAUAGCGAACAAGUACAGUGAUGGAAAGAUGAAAAGAACUUUGAAAAGAGAGUGAAAAAGUACGUGAAAUUGUUGAAAGGGAAGGGCAUUAGAUCAGACUUGGUGUUUUACGAUUAUCUUCUCUUCUUGAGUUGUGCACUCGUAUUUCACUGGGCCAGCAUCGAUUCGGAUGGCAAGAUAAUGGCAGUUGAAUGUGGCUUCACUUCGGUGGAGUGUUAUAGCUUCUGCUGAUAUUGCCUGUCUGGAUCGAGGGCUGCGUCUUUUGACUAGGAUGCUGGCGUAAUGAUCUAAUGCCGCCCGUCUUGAACCAACGGACC